CCUACGGGAGGCAGCAGUGGGGAAUUUUGGACAAUGGGCGCAAGCCUGAUCCAGCAAUGCCGCGUGAGUGAAGAAGGCCUUCGGGUUGUAAAGCUCUUUUGUCAGGGAAGAAACGGUGGGGGCUAAUAUCCUCCACUAAUGACGGUACCUGAAGAAUAAGCACCGGCUAACUACGUGCCAGCAGCCGCGGUAAUACGUAGGGUGCAAGCGUUAAUCGGAAUUACUGGGCGUAAAGCGUGCGCAGGCGGUUUUGUAAGUUUGUCGUGAAAUCCCCGGGCUCAACCUGGGAAUGGCGAUGAAGACUGCAAGGCUAGAAUCUGGCAGAGGGGGGUAGAAUUCCACGUGUAGCAGUGAAAUGCGUAGAGAUGUGGAGGAACACCGAUGGCGAAGGCAGCCCCCUGGGUCAAGAUUGACGCUCAUGCACGAAAGCGUGGGGAGCAAACAGGAUUAGAUACCCUGGUAGUCCACGCCCUAAACGAUGUCUACUAGUUGUCGGGUUUUAAUUAACUUGGUAACGCAGCUAACGCGUGAAGUAGACCGCCUGGGGAGUACGGUCGCAAGNUUAAAACUUAAAUGAAUUGACGGCUUGAGAGNGCGAGACGACGACGAGGGAGGAGG
rnacentral:rRNA from 1 species